CUUGACUUUCAAUUCACACAACACAACCCAAAACAAAGUCCCAGCUAAGCUUUUGACUUAUUUGGUUGUCAUCGCCUGACAACCGUUUUAAACAGACUGUUGCCAGACAACAGCAAUAACAACAACUCGUGGUGCAAAUUUUCAUUUUAGUCAUGGCCAGCAGCGGGAGUCGUGUAGGACGCACCGCCUCCACGAUGAGUGGAGGUCAAAAGUCCCGACAAACCUUUCCGACCCGACAGCCUUGCUUCACGUUAAAGCGUCCGCUGAUCUUUCAGGUGCGCAAAUCACUGGUGGAAUACGUGGACGAUGAGCUGCUAGAGAUGAAGACCUCGGUGUUUUAUCAACGCAUCUUCAUACUCGCCAAGAAUGUGGAACGGGAACGCGAGAGUAACCAAAGUACACAUGCCACACUUGCGGCACAUGCGGCCACAGCUGCCACAAUGGCUGCAUCGCGUCCUCAGCUGGAUGGCGAUACGGCCACCUUGAAGACAGCCGAAGUGAUGGGCGGAGGCGAUGAUGAGCACUAUUCACAGGCAUCCACAGUGGAAGAGUUGCCGACGCAGCCCAAGCUGGAACCUGAUGAUGCGCAGGAUCCUGAAAAGGAGACGUUGACACGCACUUUUAACUUUGAUUUCGACGAUGAUGCUCAAGGUGAGGAUGAAGCCGAAGAGCUGGAGGCGGAGGCAGAGCUCGAAGCAGGACCCAAGGAUAGAUACACACUGUUCACCGAGAAGCUGCAGGAGUUGCAGAAGAAGUGUCGCUACUUGUCUUAUACUCCUGAUCCCAUGUGUGGACUGCUUGUCUAUAUGAAUGAUUAUACGAUGCUAAUGCUGGAGAGUGGCGAAGACAUGAUGGGCAUCUUUUGCGGCGAGCUCUUGAAGUGCAUCGGCGACUAUUGGCAAUCGAAUCGUGUGGUGCUCAUCGAGGAUCACAUACAGGAUCUUUACACCAGGGAGCUUGUCUUUCGCCGCAUUCCAGCCGCCUUUCUCAACGAAAAGUUUCCGCCUUCGACGCCCACCGAUGAGUAUUUGAUGGGCAAACAGCAUCUGAUCAUCAAGGAGAAGAUGCACACCAUCUGCAGCCUUGUGCACGACAGCCUUGAACCGCGUGGCCUAACCGCCACAGAUCUCUCACAUGCCGAAUCCACAAUGGAUCCACCCUCCGAUAACGAGGGCGGCUUCGAAGGCAGCGAGGAGGAUCAUCCGCCGCGUGUUUCCUACCAGGCCAAGACCAGUUUAGCAUUAGCCUCCACUCAACUGGCUCCGGAUGUGUUUCGCAAACUCCUGCCGGAGAUUCAACGCAUUGAACUGGUGCUCGCUUCUACGCGUUUCUAUUACACGCUGCAGGAGUUUGCUGAUCUGUAUGGCAAGGUGCCGUUUGGCCGCGACGAUGAUAGCUUCUAUUGGCCCAUACAGAACAACUAUGCACCGCCCAACAUCUUUGUGCGCACACCGUUCGACAUUAAUCUGACGUUUGCCGACUACUCGGCGCAGAUGAAUCGUCGCAUGCAGGAGGAGCAGGAGAAGCACAAGGCUGAAAUGGAGGCAGCUGCUGCAGCGGAGGCCAUGGAUCAGUCGCAGGGUGGAGAGCAGCCACGACACACUAAUCAGCCCAAGGAGGCGGAAGCGGAUGUACUUCAAUCUCAUUGCAUAUUAUCAGCCAUCCAAGCGUCGUUGCUCUUUCUCGCUGUUGUCUCGUUGUUGUAUCUCGCUUAUCUGCCACAAAACUCGCUUUCGGUUACAAUGUUUUCGGCAUUGCGCACAUGACUGCAUUCGCCGUGUGUGUAGGAGGCAUUGGUUCAGUGGUUGCCCCACUUCCUUCCCACCACUACAUCCCUUUCUCCACCCUCUUCCUUACACUUUUGUGUGUGGAUAUGUGUGUCGCCUUGCUUACCUCGCUUACUUGUUUUGCGCUUGCCACUUGAAUGGCUCGACUUUGUUAACAUAAACAUAAAUUUGUGCACAUCCUUAAACCAAAACACAUACUCACACUCACACACAAACACACUCAUUCUCAUACACACACACAUAAUGAUAAACAAAUACAUAGAGCGCGCCAGCUGUCAGUUGUAAUACCGUUAACUUACAGCUGUCAAAAGCCGUUGCUGUCAUUUUAAGUCAGUUGACAGUCCAAAAGGCAAAUACACACACACACACACACACACACACACACACACACACACACACACACACACACACACACACACACACAAUCACACACUCACUCAGAGUGACUUGUAAGCUGCAAGAGCAGAAAUCAUCAAAAGCGAGGAAACAAAAACUAAGCUCGGUUUAUUUUGGGGCUGCAAAAAAUACAAAAACUCUUUAUGAAUAAUUUUUUUCUGCUGAAUUUGUAAAUGAAAUUUAGCGCAACUUUUGUGGCGGCAAAUAAAAUGUAAAAACGUGAGCAAAACACAACAGCAGAGCAGAGCGGAGCAGGACGCACGCACACGAGGACAGCUGCAGGCAGGCAACAGCAGGCUGCUGCAGGACAUGACUCUGACAAGGACACAAUUCAAUCAAGCGACACAUCAGCAGCAACAGCAACAACAGCAACGAGUGUCAGCGCAUAAACAAGGACAUUGCACUCCAGGGGGCGCAGCUCGACAGCAAGCAAAGCAAAGGGAGAACGAGAGACGAGCAGCAAAGCCAAACAUUUGCCACUGCAGUUUUCAUAAACUGCCAAGCAACGACAACAACAACAACAGCAGCAGUAACAACCACAGCAGCAACACUGGCGACAACAGCAACAAAAUGACGAUAAGCCGCUGCAAUGAGGAGCAGCAGCAGCUACAGCAGCACCGUGUGGCAUACAACUUGAGGCGCAAACUCAUAAAUUACAAGUGGGCCAAGUUAGCAAAAAGAAAAAAAAAAAAAAAAAAACAA